rnacentral:rRNA from 1 species
GGUGAACGCUGGCGGCGUGCUUAAGACAUGCAAGUCGAACGGCAGUCUUCGGACUGUAGUGGCGCACGGGUGAGUAACGCGUAACUGACCUACCCCAAAGUCGCGGAUAACGAUUCGAAAGAAUCGCUAAUACGUGGUGUGCUGUCAGAUUGUGUUCUGCCAGUAAAGAUUGAUUGCUUUGGGAUGGGGUUGUGUUCCAUCAGCUAGUUGGUGGGGUAAAGGCCCACCAAGGCGACGACGGAUAGCCGGCCUGAGAGGGUGGCCGGCCACAGGGGCACUGGGACGCGGGUCCCACUCCUACGGGAGGCAGCAGUGGGGAAUAUUGGACAAUGGGGGGAACCCUGAGCCAGCCAUGCCGCGUGUGUGAAGAAGGCCUUAUGGUUGUAAAGCACUUUAAGCGAGGAGGAGGCUACUGAGACUAAUACUCUUGGAUAGUGGACGUUACUCGCAGAAUAAGCACCGGCUAACUCUGUGCCAGCCGCCGCCGUAAGAC